AACGAACGCUGGCGGCGCGCCUAAUACAUGCAAGUCGAGCGAGAAGACGUAGCAAUACGUUUGUAAAGCGGCGAACGGGUGAGGAAUACAUGGGUAACCUACCCUCGAGUGGGGAAUAACUAGCCGAAAGGUUAGCUAAUACCGCGUACGCUCCUUGGACUUCGGUUCAGGGAGGAAAGCGAUACCGUGGGUAUCGCGCUCUUGGAUGGGCUCAUGUCCUAUCAGCUUGUUGGGAGGUAACGGCUCACCAAGGCUUCGACGGGUAGCUGGUCUGAGAGGACGAUCAGCCACACUGGCACUGCGACACGGGCCAGACUCCUACGGGAGGCAGCAGUAAGGAAUAUUGCGCAAUGGGCGAAAGCCUGACGCAGCGACGCCGCGGUGGGGGAUGAAGGUCUUCGGAUUACGUUAAACCCCCUUUCGGGGAGGGAAGAUGGAACGAGCAAUCGUCCGGACGGUACCUCCA
rnacentral:rRNA from 1 species